rnacentral:rRNA from 1 species
UACAGAGGGUGCGAGCGUUGUCCGGAAUCACUGGGCGUAAAGGGCGCGUAGGCGGCUCAGUAAGGUUGCGGUGAAAGCCCGGGGCUCAACCCCGGGUCGGCCGUGGCAACUGCUGGGCUGGAGCACUGUAGAGGCAGGUGGAAUUCCGGGUGUAGCGGUGGAGUGCGUAGAGAUCCGGAAGAACACCGGUGGCGAAGGCGGCCUGCUGGGCAGUAGCUGACGCUGAUGCGCGACAGCGUGGGGAGCAAACAGG